AUUCUGGCUCAGGAUGAACGCUGGCGGCGUGCUUAACACAUGCAAGUCGAACGGGAUCCCUGGCAGCUUGCUGUCGGGGUGAGAGUGGCGAACGGGUGAGUAAUGCGUGACCAACCUGCCCUGUGCACCGGAAUAGCUCCUGGAAACGGGUGGUAAUACCGGAUGCUCCGCUCCAUCGCAUGGUGGGGUGGGAAAUGCUUUUGCGGCAUGGGAUGGGGUCGCGUCCUAUCAGCUUGUUGGCGGGGUGAUGGCCCACCAAGGCGUUGACGGGUAGCCGGCCUGAGAGGGUGACCGGCCACAUUGGGACUGAGAUACGGCCCAGACUCCUACGGGAGGCAGCAGUGGGGAAUAUUGCACAAUGGGCGCAAGCCUGAUGCAGCGACGCCGCGUGCGGGAUGGAGGCCUUCGGGUUGUAAACCGCUUUUGUUCAAGGGCAAGGCACGGUUUCGGCCGUGUUGAGUGGAUUGUUCGAAUAAGCACCGGCUAACUACGUGCCAGCAGCCGCGGUAAUACGUAGGGUGCGAGCGUUAUCCGGAUUUAUUGGGCGUAAAGGGCUCGUAGGCGGUUCGUCGCGUCCGGUGUGAAAGUCCAUCGCCUAACGGUGGAUCUGCGCCGGGUACGGGCGGGCUGGAGUGCGGUAGGGGAGACUGGAAUUCCCGGUGUAACGGUGGAAUGUGUAGAUAUCGGGAAGAACACCAAUGGCGAAGGCAGGUCUCUGGGCCGUCACUGACGCUGAGGAGCGAAAGCGUGGGGAGCGAACAGGAUUAGAUACCCUGGUAGUCCACGCCGUAAACGGUGGAUGCUGGAUGUGGGGCCCUUUCCACGGGUCCCGUGUCGGAGCCAACGCGUUAAGCAUCCCGCCUGGGGAGUACGGCCGCAAGGCUAAAACUCAAAGAAAUUGACGGGGGCCCGCACAAGCGGCGGAGCAUGCGGAUUAAUUCGAUGCAACGCGAAGAACCUUACCUGGGCUUGACAUGUUCCCGACAGCCGUAGAGAUACGGUCUCCCUUCGGGGCGGGUUCACAGGUGGUGCAUGGUCGUCGUCAGCUCGUGUCGUGAGAUGUUGGGUUAAGUCCCGCA
rnacentral:rRNA from 1 species